GUGAAUCAUCGAAUCUUUGAACGCAAAUUGCACUCUCUUCGGUGCGUAUGCCUGUUCGAGGGUCAGCCUCAAAAAAAUUGACAUCGUUGCUGUUUCGUGGUGGUGUCCCUCGGAAAUUGGGUUAUUUUAAAUCUUUGGUUUAAGCUACUUAAAUUAUUCUUUACGUUUUUUUGACCGUUUACAAGUUCU
rnacentral:misc_RNA from 1 species